rnacentral:rRNA from 1 species
CAGGACGAACGCUGGCGGCGUGCCUAACACAUGCAAGUCGAACGGAGCUUCUUGGAUCAAGUCUUUUGGACAAGUGAAUUGAAGCUUAGUGGCGAACGGGUGAGUAACGCGUGAGCAACCUGCCUUUCAGAGGGGGGACAACAGUUGGAAACGACUGCUAAUACCGCAUAACACAUUCGGGGGGCAUCCCCUGGAUGUCAAAGAUUUAUCGCUGAAAGAUGGUCUCGCGUCUGAUUAGCUAGAUGGCGGGGUAACGGCCCACCAUGGCGACGAUCAGUAGCCGGUCUGAGAGGAUGAACGGCCACAUUGGGACUGAGAUACGGCCCAGACUCCUACGGGAGGCAGCAGUGGGGAAUAUUGGGCAAUGGGGGAAACCCUGACCCAGCAACGCCGCGUGAAGGAAGAAGGCCUUCGGGUUGUAAACUUCUUUUAGCAGGGACGAAGGACGUGACGGUACCUGCAGAAAAAGCAACGGCUAACUACGUG